rnacentral:rRNA from 1 species
UACGUAGGUCCCGAGCGUUGUCCGGAUUUACUGGGUGUAAAGGGCGUGUAGGCGGGACUGCAAGUCAGAUGUGAAAACUCAGGGCUCAACCCUGAGCCUGCAUUUGAAACUGUAGUUCUUGAGUACUGGAGAGGCAGACGGAAUUCCUAGUGUAGCGGUGAAAUGCGUAGAUAUUAGGAGGAACACCAGUGGCGAAGGCGGUCUGCUGGACAGCAACUGACGCUGAGGCGCGAAAGCGUGGGGAGCAAACAGG